rnacentral:misc_RNA from 1 species
GAUGAAGAACGUAGUGAAAUGCGAUAAGUAAUGUGAAUUGCAGAAUUCAGUGAAUCAUCGAAUCUUUGAACGCACCUUGCACCCUUUGGCAUUCCGAAGGGUAUGCUCGUUUGAGUGUCAUUGUACUCUCACACUUCCGAUCUUUGGAUUGGGAGCGGUGGACUUGGGUGUUGCUGCUUACUGUGGCUCACCUCAAAUCGAUUCGUGCACCUCUUGGUUGGACAUAGUACGGCGUGAUAAGUGUCUUCGCCGGCACCUCAGUAGAGGGUGGCUGAUCGGGAGCUCUGUGCUUCAAACCGUCCUCGGACAACAACUGACAACUUGACCUCAAAUCGAGUAGGACUACCCGCUGAACUUAAGCAUAUCAAUAAGCGGAGGA